CUUAAAAGACAAUAGAAAAGGACUUGAAAAGCAACUUCAGCAAUUAUCACAUACAAUAAGCCUCAUGUCUGAAAGCAGCCAGGGGAAAGUAGCUAGAGUAAACUGAACACAGACGAGAGAAAAAAGGCAGCUUUUAGCAGCUGCCUGGCAGGGAGAGGCAGAAAAGAGCUGGACUUCCAAGGCACAAAUCAGAGGACAAACUCAGAAGAACAAUGUACGGAAGACUCACCAAAGGUCUUCACACAUCAUUCAACACACUACCAGUAUCUCACAGGCCCACAGCAAAGAGAUUGUAGUUGAAGGGCAUACUAUGCAGUCAUCAAGGAACAGAUUCUGCCAGGAAAUACACCUAUUAUCUUGGAAGAUUUUGUAGAACCACUGAUUUCUCACUAAUUGGAAAUGAGAGUGAGCUGAACAUGCUGCUACCCAUGCCAGAGUGUGCAAAGGCUGCUGCUCAUUCUGAAUAAUCCAAAAUCGCACAACGAUAUAAUGUAGUAGUAAGAAAACCUCAGCAAGUAUGCAAGGUAUUUGGAACACUCUAAGGAGGACCAUAGCAAUUUUACUUAGAAGGAAUCACUUUGUUUUGGGAUAGAACAUGCACUAAAUAUAUUUUCAAAACAGGAAAUGCAGUCACCUGAAUGGUUCUGACUCGUGUACAUCCAA